rnacentral:rRNA from 1 species
AUCUUCCACAAUGGACGAAAGUCUGAUGGAGCGACGCCGCGUGCGGGAUGAAGGCCUUCGGGUUGUAAACCGCUGUCGAGGGGAAUCAAAUUUUGAGUGAUCCCUGGAGGAAGCACCGGCUAAACUCGUGCCAGCAGCCGCGGUAAUACGAGUGGUGCAAACGUUGUUCGGAAUUACUGGGCUUAAAGGGUGCGUAGGCGGCCAUGUAGGUCUGAUGUGAAAUACCACGGCUCAACCGUGGAACUGCGUUGGAUACCGCAUGGCUGGAGUGAGACAGAGGUAAGCGGAACUGAUGGUGGAGCGGUGAAAUGCGUUGAUAUCAUCAGGAACACCGGUGGCGAAAGCGGCUUACUGGGUCUUUACUGACGCUGAUGCACGAAAGCUAGGGGAGCAAACGGGAUUAGAUACCCCGGUAGUCCUAGCUGUAGACGAUGAGUACUAGUCCGUGGGAACCCCCACAUCCUCUCGGACGUAGCGAAAGUGUUAAGUACUCCGCCUGGGGAGUAUGGUCGCAAGGCUGAAACUCAAAGGAA